UGUCCGUCGAGCGGAAAACCGUUUUAUUGGGUGUUCGCGUCUACGUCGUGUUUUGUUAAGUUUUUAUUUGAAAAUCAACAAGUGGAUAACAAGGAUCUCAAGUGGCACUGGAAAUGACUCGCAGAAUCAACAUGCGGAUCUCGAAGCUUUUGUACCAGAGGACCAUAAUUUAAGAUAUCACAAAAGUGCAAGAUAAUCAAUUGAAGUUCAACGUAACCUUCGGUGGUUUGCAACGCAGAAUGAAGCAGCAAGUACAAUAUUUCUACCAUGAAGUUCUAGAGUAUCCUGCAAUUAUCAACAUCCGCUGACAAAGAAGCAAAAUCGCAUCGUGUACACCGUCAAGAAAAUUAAUCGUGCAACAUAAUUUUUCAACAAUUUUACUGAAUUCGUUGCUUGUGUGCUAUCUUGUGACAACUUCCCACUCAAC